UACGUAGGGGGCAAGCGUUGUCCGGAUUUAUUGGGCGUAAAGAGCGUGUAGGCGGCCAGACAGGUCCGUUGUGAAAACUCGAGGCUCAACCUCGAGAUGUCGAUGGAAACCGUCUGGCUAGAGUCCGGAAGAGGAGUGUGGAAUUCCUGGUGUAGCGGUGAAAUGCGCAGAUAUCAGGAGGAACACCAAUUGCGAAGGCAGCUCGCUGGGACGUGACUGACGCUGAGACGCGAAAGCGUGGGGAGCGAACAGG
rnacentral:rRNA from 1 species